rnacentral:rRNA from 1 species
AACGCGAAGAACCUUACCAGGCCUUGACAUGCCCUCUAUGAAGCGCAGAAACGCACUUCUUCACUUCGGGUGGGAGGAGCACAGGUGCUGCAUGGCUGUCGUCAGCUCGUGUCGUGAGAUGUUGGGUUAAGUCCCGCAACGAGCGCAACCCUCGUCCUCUGUUGCUAACAGGUUAAGCUGAGCACUCUGAGGAAACUGCCGGUGAUAAGCCGGAGGAAGGUGGGGAUGACGUCAAGUCCUCAUGGCCCUUACGGCCUGGGCUACACACGUGUUACAAUGGUGGUGACAAUACGCAGCUAACCCGCGAGGGUACGCAAAUCGUAAAAAGCCACCUCAGUUCAGAUUGUACUCUGCAACUCGAGUACAUGAAGCUGGAAUCGCUAGUAAUCGCGGAUCAGCACGCCGCGGUGAAUACGUUCCCGGGCCUUGUACACACCGAUACUC